AGGAUGAACGCUGGCGGCGUGCUUAACACAUGCAAGUCGAACGAUGAAGGCUGGAGCUUGCUCUGGCUGGAUUAGUGGCGAACGGGUGAGUAACACGUGAGUAACCUGCCCCAGACUCUGGGAUAAGCGCUGGAAACGGCGUCUAAUACCGGAUACGAGCUUCCACCGCAUGGUGAGGAGCUGGAAAGAAUUUUGGUCUGGGAUGGACUCGCGGCCUAUCAGCUUGUUGGUGAGGUAAUGGCUCACCAAGGCGACGACGGGUAGCCGGCCUGAGAGGGUGACCGGCCACACUGGGACUGAGACACGGCCCACGGCUCCUACGGGAGGCAGCAGUGGGGAAUAUUGCACAAUGGGCGACAAGCCUGAUGCAGACAACGCCGCGUGAGGACGAAGGCCUCGGUUGUAACCUACUUUAGUUAGGAAGAAGAGAGGUGUUAUCUACUCAUGACGUAC
rnacentral:rRNA from 1 species